UACUGAAGGGGCAAGCGUUGUUCGGAAUCAUUGGGCGUAAAGGGCGCGUAGGUGGUUCUGUAUGUCUACCGUGAAAGCGUACGGCUCAACCGUAUUUUGUCGGUGGAAACUGCAGGACUUGAGGCUGGGAGGGGCUGGUGGAAUUCCCUGUGUAGCGGUGAAAUGCGUAGAGAUGGGGGAGAACACUCGUGGCGAAGGCGGCCAGCUAGACCAGUUCUGACGCUGAGGCGCGACAGCGUGGGGAGCAAACAGG
rnacentral:rRNA from 1 species